GUAAUUUAUAAAGAGGUUUAAUUGACUCACAGUUCAGCAUGGCUAGGGAGGCCUCAGGAAACUUAUAAUCAUGGUGAAAAGGGAAGCCAACACGUCCUUCUUCACAUGGCAGCGGGGAGGACACAUGGGGACUAUAGGAACUAUAAUUCAAGAUGAGAUUUGGGUGGGGACACAGAAAACCCAUAUCAUAUACAUUAUUAGAAGUAAUAGAAGAGUUUAGUCUGCCAGAAAUGACAUAUUAUAAGUAAUUAGAUUGUGUGUUAUUAGCACGAGGAUGAAAAACAGACCAACGGAACAAAAAGAGAACCCAGGAACUCAAUGCUCUCAGUGAGACCUGAACUGAGUUAAGUGAAGAGAGAGAGGCAAGGCUGACAGUAUUUGUUUUACUGGCAGGGAUUAAAAUGGUGGCUUCCCAAUUUUAGAAGGUGAUUUCAGAGCUGUGUUUGGUUCUGGAGCCAGCAGGUCUGACAGUGGCUUCUUGAUUUAGCUGAAGUGGUCCCUAAUUGUGCCACGGGUCAAAGUCAGAGUGGUGGUCACAGUCCUGGAGGUGGCAAGAAGGAUGACAAGGACAAGAAAAAGAAAUAUGAACCUCCUGUACCAACUGGAGUGGGGAAAAAGAAGAAAACAAAAGGAUCAGAUGUUGCCAGCAAACUGCCACUGGUGACACCUCACACUCAGUGCCCAUUACAAUUACUGAAGUUA
rnacentral:lncRNA from 1 species